AGAACGAACGCUGGCGGCAGGCUUAACACAUGCAAGUCGAACGGAUAUAGCAAUAUAUUAGUGGCGCACGGGUGAGUAAUACUUGGGAACGUGCCUUAGAGUCUGGGAUAACAGCGGGAAACUGCUGCUAAUACCGGAUAUUCCCUCCGGGGGAAAGAUUUAUCGCUCUAAGAUCGGCCCAAGCCAGAUUAGGUAGUUGGUGGGGUAAAAGCCUACCAAGCCUACGAUCUGUAGCUGGUCUGAGAGGACGACCAGCCACACUGGAACUGAGACACGGUCCAGACUCCUACGGGAGGCAGCAGUGGGGAAUAUUGGACAAUGGGGGAAACCCUGAUCCAGCCAUGCCGCGUGAGUGAUGAAGGCCUUAGGGUUGUAAAGCUCUUUGUCAGGGAAGAUGAUGACGGUACUGAAGAAUAAGCACGGCUAACUUCGUGCCAGCAGCCGC
rnacentral:rRNA from 1 species